rnacentral:rRNA from 1 species
UUAUUAUAAGCUUAUUAAGGGCGUAUGGGGGAUGCCUAGGCUCUCAGAGGCGAUGAAGGACGUGACAAGCUGCGAAAAGCUGCGGGGAUUAGCACAUAUGAAUUGAUCCGCAGAUAUCCGAAUGGGGCAACCCACUAGAUUGAAGAUCUAGUAUCCGAAAGGAGGCAAACCCGGUGAACUGAAACAUCUAAGUAGCCGGAGGAAGAGAAAACAAUAGUGAUUUUGCGAGUAGCGGCGAGCGAAAGUGAAGAAGCCCAAACCAGUUUUGUUUCGGCAAGAUUGGGGUUGUAGGACUACAAUAUUUGAUUAAAAUGUAACCCAAAGAGUAUGGAAAUGCUCUCCAAAGAAGGUGAUAGGCCUGUAGGGGUAAAAUUUUAAUUGAUAGUAGUAUCCUGAGUAAUGCGGGGCACGAGAAACCUUGCAUGAAUCUACCGGGACCAUCCGGUAAGGCUAAAUACUACUGAGAGACCGAUAGUGAACUAGUACCGUGAGGGAAAGGUGAAAAGAACCUUGAAUAAAGGAGUGAAAUAGACCCUGAAACCAUACGCUUACAAGCGGUCGGAGCCUUUAGGGGUGACGGCGUGCCUUUUGCAUAAUGAGCCUACGAGUUACCGGUGUUAGCGAGACUAAUUAAUUCAGUUAAGCAGUCGUAGCGAAAGCGAGUCUGAAUAGGGCGCAUAAGUUAGCAUUGGUAGACGCGAAACCGUGUGAUCUACCCUUGGGCAGGUUGAAGUUUAGGUAACACUAAAUGGAGGACCGCACCCGUUGACGUUGAAAAGUCUUGGGAUGACCUGAGGGUAGGGGUGAAAGGCCAAUCAAACUCGGAAAUAGCUCGUACUCCCCGAAAUGCAUUUAGGUGCAGCGGUAGAUUUAGUUUUAUAGAGGUAGAGCUACUGAUUGGAUGCGGGGGCUUCACCGCCUACCAAUUCCUGACAAACUCCGAAUACUAUAAAAUGAUGACUACCAGUGAGGGCAUGGGUGCUAAGGUCCAUGUCCGAGAGGGAAAGAACCCAGAGCAUCAGCUAAGGUCCCAAAAUAUAUACUAAGUUGAAAAAACGCGGUCUAAUUGCAUAGACAGCUAGGAUGUUGGCUUG